rnacentral:lncRNA from 1 species
CACUGACGAUCCUCAGGAAAAUGAGAUACAGAAGUGACGCCCUCCUCGAACUAAAAG